rnacentral:rRNA from 1 species
UACGGAGGGAGCUAGCGUUGUUCGGAAUACUGGGCGUAAAGCGUACGUAGGCGGUUAUUCAAGUCAGAGGUGAAAGCCCGGGGCUCAACCCCGGAACUGCCUUUGAAACUAGAUAGCUAGAAUCUUGGAGAGGUCAGUGGAAUUCCGAGUGUAGAGGUGAAAUUCGUAGAUAUUCGGAAGAACACCAGUGGCGAAGGCGACUGACUGGACAAGUAUUGACGCUGAGGUACGAAAGCGUGGGGAGCAAACAGG